rnacentral:rRNA from 1 species
UACGAAGGGGGCUAGCGUUGCUCGGAAUCACUGGGCGUAAAGGGUGCGUAGGCGGGGCUUUAAGGCAGGGGUGAAAUCCUGGAGCUCAACUCCAGAACUGCCUUUGAUACUGAGGAUCUUGAGUUCGGGAGAGGUGAGUGGAACUGCGAGUGUAGAGGUGAAAUUCGUAGAUAUUCGCAAGAACACCAGUGGCGAAGGCGGCUCACUGGUCCAUUACUGACGCUGAGGUGCGAAAGCGUGGGGAGCAAACAGG